rnacentral:rRNA from 1 species
CAAUAGCGUAUAUUAAAGUUGUUGCAGUUAGAACGCUCGUAGUCGGAUUUCGGGGCGGGGCGACCGGUCUGCCGAUGGGUAUGCACUGGUCGGCGCGUCCUUCCUUCCGGAGACCGUUCCUACUCUUAACUGAGCGGGGGCGGGAGACGGAUCGUUUACUUUGAAAAAAUCAGAGUGUUUCAAGCAGGCAGCUCGCUCUUGCAUGGAUUAGCAUGGGAUAAUGAAAUAGGACUUUGGUGCUAUUUUGUUGGUUUCGAACACCGAAGUAAUGAUUAAAAGGGACAGUCAGGGGCACUCGUAUUCCGCCGAGAGAGGUGAAAUUCUCAGACCAGCGGAAGACGAACCACUGCGAAAGCAUUUGCCAGGAAUGUUUUCACUGA